rnacentral:rRNA from 1 species
UAGCCUUGACAUAUUAUAGAAUUCAGUAGAGAUACAGAAGUGCCUUCGGGAGCUAUAUUACAGGUGCUGCACGGCUGUCGUCAGCUCGUGUCGUGAGAUGUUGGGUUAAGUCCCGCAACGAGCGCAACCCUCGUCACUAGUUACUAACGGUUAGGCCGAGGACUCUAGUGAGACUGCCUUCGUAAGGAGGAGGAAGGUGAGGACGACGUCAAGUCAUCAUGGCCCUUACGGCUAGGGCAACACACGUGCUACAAUGGUUAGGACAAUGAGAAGCAAUAUCGCGAGGUGGAGCAAAUCUAUAAACCUAAUCUCAGUUCGGAUUGUAGUCUGNCACUCGACUACAUGAAGCUGGGAUCACUAGUAAUCGUAGAUCAGCUAUGCUACGGUGAAUACGUUCC